rnacentral:rRNA from 1 species
CCCUACGGGACGCAGCAGUGAGGAAUAUUGGUCAAUGGUCGGGAGACUGAACCAGCCAAGCCGCGUGAGGGAGGAAGGUACAGAGUAUCGUAAACCUCUUUUGUCAGGGAACAAAGGCGGAGACGCGUCUCCGGAUGAGUGUACCCGAAGAAAAAGCAUCGGCUAACUCCGUGCCAGCAGCCGCGGUAAUACGGAGGAUGCGAGCGUUAUCCGGAUUUAUUGGGUUUAAAGGGUGCGCAGGCGGGAGAUCAAGUCAGCGGUAAAAUGUCGGGGCUCAACCCCGGCCUGCCGUUGAAACUGGGUUU